AAACACUGAAACACAGUUCAAUCAAAAAAAGGAAAAAGAACAAAGAACAAAGAACAAAGAAGAUAACGGGAAAAAGAACAAAAAACAAAAAAGAGGAGGUAUGCCUGGAAAUGGAGCUCCCUGAGGGCCUGAGUACGCUGAAGAACAAAGAAGAUACGAUUAGCUAUGUGAACCAGACUAGAAAGAACCAGGAGAGGAAGAAUGGAAGGAAGAAAGCUUCAAAACAAUAAGAAAAUGGAACGGUUCGGAAGGAAAAGUUUUGAAAAAGGAAAUGGUCAAAUUGAAAAUGAAAUGACGGGAUUAUGGGAAGAAGAGAGGGCAGAUUUCAGCUGAUUGGGCAAGGAAUCGGUGCCUUUUUUUAGGAUUAUAUCUAGAUUUUUUUUACUUUAAAAAUAUUUAGAUUUUUUUACUUUGGGCCAUCUACUUUGGGCCUUUUUUAGAAUUUUUGUAAUUUUGUUCUAUUAAUAAAAGCCCAAUAUGAUGUUAUUAAAAAAAAGAAAAAUGAAGUCUAAAUAAACCGCAAAAAGCAAUCAAAGUCCAAAUAUUUAAAACUCUAAAAAUCAUAAAAAAUGAUUUUUUAUAAUUAUAUUUAUAAUUCUUAUGUUUUAUAAUAAGUUGUGC
rnacentral:lncRNA from 1 species